rnacentral:rRNA from 1 species
GACGAACGCUGGCGGCGUGCUUAACACAUGCAAGUCGAACGGAAAGGCCCUGCUUUUGUGGGGUGCUCGAGUGGCGAACGGGUGGGUAACACGUGAGUAACCUGCCCUUGACUUUGGGAUAACUUCAGGAAACUGGGGCUAAUACCGGAUAGGAGCUCCUGCUGCAUGGUGGGGGUUGGAAAGUUUCGGCGGUUGGGGAUGGACUCGCGGCUUAUCAGCUUGUUGGUGGGGUAGUGGCUUACCAAGGCUUUGACGGGUAGCCGGCCUGAGAGGGUGACCGGCCACAUUGGGACUGAGAUACGGCCCAGACUCCUACGGGAGGCAGCAGUGGGGAAUAUUGCACAAUGGGCGGAAGCCUGAUGCAGCAACGCCGCGUGCGGGAUGACGGCCUUCGGGUUGUAAACCGCUUUCGCCUGUAACGAAGCGUGAGUGACGGUAAUGGGUAAAGAAGCACCGGCUAACUACGUG